AUUAGCUAGUUGGUGAGGUAAAUGCUCACCAAGGCGAUGAUGGGUAGGGGUUCUGAGAGGAUAUACCCCCACACUGGUACUGAGACACGGACCAGACUCCUACGGGAGGCAGCAGUAAGGAAUAUUGGUCAAUGGGCGAGAGCCUGAACCAGCCAUGCCGCGUGCAGGAAGACUGCCCUAUGGGUUGUAAACUGCUUUUGUCAGGGGAUAAACCUACCGACGUGUCGGUAGCUGAAGGUACCUGAAGAAUAAGGAUCGGCUAACUCCGUGCCAGCAGCCGCGGUAAUACGGAGGAUCCGAGCGUUAUCCGGAUUUAUUGGGUUUAAAGGGUGCGCAGGCGGAAUGGUAAGUCAGGGGUGAAAUUCUACGGCUCAACUGUAGGCGUGCCUUUGAUACUGCCAAACUAGAGUUAAGUUGGAGUGGGCGGAAUGUGUUGUGUAGCGGUGAAAUGCUUAGAUAUAACACAGAACACCGAUCGCGAAGGCAGCUCACUAAACUUAUACUGACGCUCAUGCACGAAAGCGUGGGGAUCAAACAGGAUUAGAUACCCUGGUAGUCCACGCUGUAAAC
rnacentral:rRNA from 1 species